CCAUGAGUGAGGGCCCCCGGCCUGACCUCCAACCCUUUGUCGUUACAAAACCACUGCUGCCUCGGGGGCGACCCGGCCUUCGGGCGUCGGGGCCCCCGGUGGACCACAUCAAAACGCUGCGUCUGUACGUCGAAUUACAAGAUAAAUGAAUCA
rnacentral:misc_RNA from 1 species